CCCAUCUCUUCAAAUUCCAUUUUUACGCUACCAAGAGCUACGUACUAGAUAUUCUGUAGCUACCCUGUCUUUGCUUUUCUUGUACAUCAUAUCUUGUUUCAGCCCAAGAAUUCAGCGAUUUAUGAUGUGGGUUUCUUCUUAAUUAGAUCAGCUCGAUGUGCAAGAAUUAAUACUUGAGAUUUCAACUUUCAAUCCAGUUUCUUGAUCUGGGUAUUUGUUGUUUUUCCAUUAGUUCCUCUGUUUCAUCAGCAUUUCGACUCGGUACAGAAUUGUUUAAAAGAUUUUUGUUCAGUUUGUGGAACCCAGAUCGAUCAGACCUUUUUG
rnacentral:lncRNA from 1 species